rnacentral:tRNA from 1 species
AGCACCGAGGUGUCAACACAUUAGAUUGCAAAUCUAAAGUAGUAGAUUAUCGUCUACCGGGGCUU